rnacentral:rRNA from 1 species
UACGUAGGGGGCAAGCGUUGUUCGGAAUUACUGGGCGUAAAGGGCACGUAGGCGGCACGGCAAGUCAGGAGUGAAAGGCCUGGGCUCAACCUGGGAAUUGCUUUUGAAACUGCCGAGCUAGAGUGCGGAAGGGGCAACUGGAAUUCCCAGUGUAGCGGUGAAAUGCGUAGAUAUUGGGAAGAACACCUGAGGCGAAGGCGGGUUGCUGGGCCGACACUGACGCUGAUGCGCGAAAGCCAGGGGAGCGAACGGG